AUUGAACGCUGGCGGCAGGCUUAACACAUGCAAGUCGAGCGGGGUGAUGGUGCUUGCACUAUCACUUAGCGGCGGACGGGUGAGUAAUGCUUAGGAAUCUGCCUAUUAGUGGGGGACAACAUCUCGAAAGGGAUGCUAAUACCGCAUACGUCCUACGGGAGAAAGCAGGGGAUCACUUGUGACCUUGCGCUAAUAGAUGAGCCUAAGUCGGAUUAGCCAGUUGGUGGGGUAAAGGCCUACCAAGGCGACGAUCUGUAGCGGGUCUGAGAGGAUGAUCCGCCACACUGGGACUGAGACACGGCCCAGACUCCUACGGGAGGCAGCAGUGGGGAAUAUUGGACAAUGGGGGGAACCCUGAUCCAGCCACGCCGCGUGUGUGAAGAAGGCCUUAUGGUUGUAAAGCACUUUAAGCGAGGAGGAGGCUCUUUUGGUUAAUACCCAAGAUGAGUGGACGUUACUCGCAGAAUAAGCACCGGCUAACUCUGUGCCAGCCGCCGCGGUAA
rnacentral:rRNA from 1 species